rnacentral:rRNA from 1 species
CCUACGGGAGGCAGCAGUAGGGAAUCUUCCACAAUGGGCGAAAGCCUGAUGGAGCAACGCCGCGUGGGUGAAGAAGGUCUUCGGAUCGUAAAACCCUGUUGUUAGAGAAGAAAGAGCGUGAGAGGAACUGUUCACGUUUCGACGGUAUCUACCCAGAAAGCCACGGCUAACUACGUGCCAGCCGCCGCGGUAAUACGUAGGUGGCAAGCGUUAUCCGGAUUUAUUGGGCGUAAAGGGAACGCAGGCGGUCUUAUAAGUCUGACGUGAAAGCCUUCGGCUUAACCGGAGUAGUGCAUUGGAAACUGGAAGACUUGAGUGCAGAAGAGGAGAGUGGAACUCCAUGUGUAGCGGUGAAAUGCGUAGAUAUAUGGAAGAACACCAGUGGCGAAGGCGGCUCUCUGGUCUGUAACUGACGCUGAGGUUCGAAAGCGUGGGUAGCAAACAGGAUUAGAUACCCGAGUAGUC